rnacentral:rRNA from 1 species
ACACAUGCAGUCGAGCGGAUGAGAGGAGCUCGCUCCUUGAUUUAGCGGCGGACGGGUGAGUAAUGCCUAGGAAUCUGCCUGGUAGUGGGGGAUAACGUCCGGAAACGGGCGCUAAUACCGCAUACGUCCUACGGGAGAAAGCAGGGGACCUUCGGGCCUUGCGCUAUCAGAUGAGCCUAGGUCGGAUUAGCUAGUUGGUGAGGUAAUGGCUCACCAAGGCGACGAUCCGUAACUGGUCUGAGAGGAUGAUCAGUCACACUGGAACUGAGACACGGUCCAGACUCCUACGGGAGGCAGCAGUGGGGAAUAUUGGACAAUGGGCGAAAGCCUGAUCCAGCCAUGCCGCGUGUGUGGAGAAGGUCUUCGGAUUGUAAAGCACUUUAAGUUGGGAGGAAGGGCAUUAACCUAAUACGUUAGUGUUUUGACGUUACCGACAGAAUAAGCACCGGCUAACUUCGUGCCAGCAGCCGCGGUAAUACGAAGGGUGCAAGCGUUAAUCGGAAUUACUGGGCGUAAAGCGCGCGUAGGUGGUUCGUUAAGUUGGAUGUGAAAGCCCCGGGCUCAACCUGGGAACUGCAUCCAAAACUGGCGAGCUAGAGUACGGUAGAGGGUGGUGGAAUUUCCUGUGUAGCGGUGAAAUGCGUAGAUAUAGGAAGGAACACCAGUGGCGAAAGCGACCACCUGGACUGAUACUGACACUGAGUGCGAAAGCGUGGGGAGCAAACAGGAUUAGAUACCCUGGUAGUCCACGCCGUAAACGAUGUCAACUAGCCGUUGGGUUCCUUGAGAACUUAGUGGCGCAGCUAACGCAUUAAGUUGACCGCCUGGGGAGUACGGCCGCAAGGUUAAAACUCAAUGAAUUGACGGGGGCC